UGGGGAAUAUUGGGCAAUGGGCGAAAGCCUGACCCAGCGACGCCGCGUGAGGGACGAAGGCCUUCGGGUUGUAAACCUCUUUCAGUAGGGAAGAAGCGAAAGUGACGGUACCUACAGAAGAAGCACCGGCUAACUACGUG
rnacentral:rRNA from 1 species